GUUUUACGUGACGUCAUCAAAACAUGCGCAGACUGCGAUGGCUCAGUCGCUACUACAGUUGCUACCACUACUACCAUAAUGAUUAUUUUUGCUGUCUUUAAGCCUGGACACUGAAGUGACAAAGAAGUUCUCGUCAGUUCCCGCAACUUCGCUGAAGGCUACGGGCUCUCCCUUUCGCCAGCAUGGUUGAAUGUUGAAGGACAGACUAGAAGGCCGCUAGCUGUCUUGCCUCUAUUGUAGAGGAAUCUGAGACCAGCACAAUUUCCACAUACAACAGACAAAAAUGACUGCCACCGUAGGGAAAGGAGUUAACCUCCUGACCAUGGUUUUACAUCGUUCUUUUACUAGGACUACCUUUGGUCAACGAACUAUGCAGGAUUCUCAAGUGUCCCGACCACAGAGGAACUGGGUCAACACAUCGGCCUUGGCCUUUGGUUUGCUCGGCCUCAGCUUAUCCGUUUUCAGCACAAAGCAGCUCUACCAAGAUCCCAACAGCCAGUGCUUACUAUGGAAAAAGUAAUAUCACAGCUUCUGUAUCUCUCAAUCCUUGGCUUAACACUUGUCAGUUUCUCAUAAAUUGGCACUGUGUAGGACUCCACCUUCUGUGAUACAUUUGGACAACUUGAUGUUUACCAGGAAAUCAUUGAUACCACUCAACUUUGGUUGGUUGGGGGUUACAGAUGACAAGGUUAUGACCUUUGGUGGAUUUACUCCGGCGUGUCUAAGUGGAACCAAAACUUCUUCAACAGAAUUUCCUCUUCAAGUGAUAACAAUCUUUAUUAUCCAAGAACCCUCUCACCGAGUGAUAUUGCACCAUUUGAUAUCUGGGUAACUAUUAAAAAAUGUCUCUCACACCUUGUCCCUCACUCCUGAUUGGAGUUGGGUAAAAGGAAGCGAAGUUAUUAUUGUAGACUUACAAAAAGAAAAUUUUGCAAAUUUUCUCUAAUACGGCUAUUACACUACAUGCAUUUUCAAAUCCCCCCUUCCUCUCCCUCCCUCCCAUUUAUAAGUAUUAUCUUCUCGUGUUCCUUCAUUCUAGAAUUCUUGUCCUUAUCAUUAUUCAUGGCACUGUUUCUGGAAGAUAAAGUGCUGAUCAUGCUACCAAGUGUCUUAAUGCAUCCAUGAUUGCAAAAAAUCUUGUUUGUCAGUCCUUUGUGCACUUUCAGUAGUGUCACUAAGAAUACUUUGUUUAACUUGCUUGCGCUUGCACAUUUUUUAUUUUAAGAAAGUGUUAUUGUGUUUAUGCAUAUGUUUCAAGGCUAUUAAAAGAGGAUGUGUUGCAAACAUUGCCUCAUACCUGUUGUUGCUUUUUUUUGGUUUUUUUUUUUUUUUAAAUUCUUGUUAACUGAUUAGCAACUACAAGAUAGGCAGCUGCUGUGCCCAUGUAUUCAGAGUUAAAGAAAAUUGAUGUGGCUUGUAGAAGUAUUGUAAUCAUUUCCUCAUCUUUCUGUUCCUUCUAACAGUUCUGUCUGGUGAUGUAGCACUGAGCAAAUAUUGUAGCAGUAUCAGCAGUUGUUUUACAGUAUGCACCCUACUUCAUUCGGGGACAAAUUGUGUCUUGAACUAGGGAAAUAUUAAGAUGCAGGUCAGCUGUUUUGUACUUGCAUUUACUCUAUUUUUCUACACAGCUGAUGUAUGCAACCUUCCACUUCGUGGAUCAAAGUGGUGUUUUAAUCUGAUGGAUGAUACUUGGAUGUAAUUUGGCAAGAAGCUUUGUCCCACUGGAACACUUGGUUCCUAAAUCUGAUGGGUCUGUUGCAACUGAAAAUAAAAUAAGUGAAAAAGA